rnacentral:rRNA from 1 species
GUCUAUGGCCAUACCACCCUGAACGUGCUUGAUCUUAUCUGAUCUCAGAAGCUAAGCAGGGUCAGAGACAACCUAGGAAUACUGGGUGCUGUAGGCU